rnacentral:rRNA from 1 species
AUACGGAGGAUGCGAGCGUUAUCCGGAUUUAUUGGGUUUAGAGGGUGCGUAGGCUGUGCGUUAAGUCAGGGGUGAAAUGCCGUCGCUCAACGACGGAGCUGCCCUUGAUACUGGCGUGCUGGAGUACGGAUGCCGUUGGAGGAAUGAGUGGUGUAGCGGUGAAAUGCUUAGAUAUCACUCAGAACACCGAUUGCGAAGGCAUCUGACGAAUCCGUCACUGACGCUGAGGCACGAAAGCGUGGGGAUAGAACAGGAUUAGAUACCCUGGUAUUCCACGCCGUAAACGAUGAUGACUAACCGUCGGCGAUAGACAACCGGUGGCCAAGCGAAAGCGAUAAGUCAUCCACCUGGGGAGUACGUCGGCAACGAUGAAACUCAAAUGAAUUGACGGGG